ACAGAACACUGGAGCUCUUCAGGAGUGCACGGCUCCACUCCAGUGUUCCUUUCCCUGUGUGAAGUUAACAUGGACAGUGAGUGCUCAGAUUGCAGGUUGAUUCAGGAAGAAAAAGAAAAUACAGAGCAGCGGGCAGAGGAGAUUGAAAGUCGAGUUGGCAGUGGAAGUCUAGACAAUCUUGGUCGUUUUAGAUCAAUGAGCUCCAUUCCCCCCUACCCUGCUUCCUCGCUUGCUAGCUCCUCCCCUCCGGGCAGUGGGCGCUCCACCCCACGAAGGAUCCCUCACAGCCCAGCUCGGGAAGUGGACAGACUGGGCGUCAUGACCCUUUUGCCACCUUCCAGAGAAGAGGUACGAGAUGACAAGACAACCAUAAAGUGUGAAACCUCCCCGCCUUCCUCCCCGAGAGCCCUUCGGUUAGACCGGCUGCACAAAGGGGCGCUGCACACCGUCAGCCACGAGGACAUCAGGGACAUAAGGAACUCCACAGGCUCCCAGGAUGGUCCCGUGAGCAACCCCAGCAGUAGCAACAGUAGCCAGGACUCGCUCCACAAAG
rnacentral:misc_RNA from 1 species